rnacentral:misc_RNA from 1 species
AGAUAAUGUCAACUUAAUAAUAUGCUAAAAGAACAAAUGAUGUAAGGGACAAAAGAAAUAAAGGGAAAAAUUAUAUAAACUCGGUGCAAAGUUCCAUUGUAUAUGGCAAGCAUUUGCUACAACAAACAAUGGCUUGCAUAAAGUACAAACUGAAUGUAGUCCGCUAAACUGAAACUAGACCAACUGAUAUGUGAAUUCUGAUCUACAUGGGCAUAAAUAAAGGUGACACCCUCCUUUGAACAAUAUCCUGAAUUUGUUCUGAUGAUAAAACUGAUGCCUCAGCAAUAAAAUCAGCAUUUUGCAUCUGCUGGUGCAACUUUCCAAGAAUUACAGAUUGGUCGUCCAGGUGAAAUUUGCGCAUAUACUUCAGCAUCUCCAGUUGCUGAAAAUAAAAAUAAAAACGGCAUGCACAAUUUAGCAGCAUCCUUCAACAAAACUCACACCAAAAUGCAGCUAGACAGCACCUGUUCAUGCAAUUUUUGUUGACUCUGCAUUUUUUCAGUAAACUCUUUUGGUCCAAGCUCAGCUUCAUCGCAGGCCAUCUCUUCACUGUCAAUUGACAGAACAUCAACACUGGACCAUACAGAAAUAUAUAAACCAAUCUGUAUAUAUGGUGUUUGCAAUUCAUAAAUAUGGGGACAACUGAACAUUACAAAUGAGGUGGGACUUUCACUUCCUCAAGUAAAACUACCCCUGGUGACAAUCAAAUAUGUUGGGAAAUUAAACCCAAGGGGAAUGGACCAUAAUUCAUAUACAUGCAAAAACCCAUUGCCCCAAGAGUUGUAUCACUAGUCUAACAUAUGAUCACAUUAAUAUAAUGAGCCAUAUGCAUUAAUUCACAGCCAAGAUGUACCUGGUAUUGCAGAAAUAAUUUAUUUGUGCUCCGGGGGUACAAACUGUGUUAGAGAGAAGAAGACCUUGCUAAGACAAUGCAUACUCAAUGAGCACACGCAACACACCCUUGCCGCAGAAAAAUACUCUCAAUUUUUCUGCCCAUAGAACCUAUUGUUACAUAUGGAAGGCGGAGAUUUAGGAAAAAGAAUGGGACUGAACUUAAUAAAUGAGAGAUGUAAGUGAGCGAGAUCAGUAAGCAGGGGAAUAAGGGUGAGCUAGAGUAGUAGAAAAUUUGUUAGAAUAGUCUCAGUUGGCGAGAACAGUUAUAAUUGAGUAGCAGCUGUACGAAUAACAGCAUUGUAAAAAUAAGGAGGAUAUCUUGAGAAUAUCAAUAAACUCUUUCUUUUCUCUCUAUCUUCUGCUAUAUUCUUUCUCUCUCAAUCUCUAUCCUCUUCUUUUCCUCUCAAUUCUAUUUCUUCCUUCCUAAUUCUUUCUAUUCUAUCUCAGAUCUAUUGGCUUAAUUUCUCUAUGGCUCUUGGCCGGAGAAUCCUCACCAUGUAAGUUGUGGCUCUUAGCCAUAAUCUGCCAAAAUCAAUAACCAUUUUGUGGCCCUAUGCAGCCAAAGUUGGUAACUUCCUUAAGGAAGUUAUCUUCAAUGUGCAUGCAUGUGAAAUGGCCUUUGUGCACUUACUUCAGGUCAUGGCACAACUUCCACUUGGAAGUUGUGCCUCCACUUUCUGCAGUCGUGCACGUAUGGGGAGUUAUCUCCCCAUGUCCAAGCAGUCUCUCUUCUUCCUCUUCUUUUUCAAUUUUUUUUAUUUUAUUUUUAUCAUAAUAAAAUAAAGGCAUGGUCUGAGUUGACUCAUCACCUGUUUUCCUUCAAAAUACAAACAAAUAACUGAGUGCAUGUCAAGGAGACAGUAAAAUAUAUAUGGGAAAAUGGAUAAGCAUGCACUGAAAUUGAUACACCAGGUCAAACUAAAAAAAAAAAAAAACAGAGAAAUGAAGAAGAAAGAAGGGUGUGGGGGGGAGGCAGGGUGUUUAUCCAACAAAAGAAUUCCAAUAACACAGGACAGGCACUUCAACAUGUUAGCAUCAGUAAUGCCAAUGAUAUAAUUUUCAGUUUGUAAAGAGAUGAAAGAUAAGAUAGAGGCUUUAGGUGCCAUAAAGAAGUUACAAGUUAUUUUUCUUUUGCAGGCUUGUGCUUAUAAGUAUCAAUAUGGUAUCACUGCACUUGGCUGUAACUCAAGUUGUAAACUAGUUGUUGGAAUCCCUUGUUUUUGGGAAUACAAAUUAUUAGGCAUUAAUUGAAUUUUCCUAUUGUAAUUAGCUUCCUAUUUUUAGUUUCCUAUUUAGGUCUGAUUCUUUGUAUUAAAUAGGAGCCUUGUAUAUCAUUUUUUUAUCAUGAAGAAACACAGAAAAUUCCCUCAAAUAUCAGCGUCUUUUAUCCCUGGUUGUUAGAAGAUAGGAUAGAUAUCUUAGGUUAAAAUCCCCAUCACAACCCUCCUCUACCCCCAUCCAUGCUAGCCAAAGACCACAACAAAAAUGAGAAAAUGAAAAUAAUUUGGUAUUCGAAGCACCUGCACUGUCAUGUGACUAUCUUUCAUAACCUUUAACAAUAUCCUACUUCUAUCUCUACUAUGUACAAGAACCACAAUGCAAGAAAGGCUUCUUAACCAAAUGGAGAAUUUAAGCCAAAUGUUAAAGAAGAAGAGUAUCAAAAUGAAUUAUUCAGCAUUACAGUAUUUUGAGAGAAGAAAAUAAGCUCAAGACUUCAUUCUAAUCCUUGAUAAAAACAGUAAAAGCUCAUGAGACAGCAUUCAUAACUGAAGAACAGAAGAUUUACGUUUUUGGACAAUUAGUCAAAGGCCUAAAUGUCAAAAUGGCAAUGCAUUGACAGCAGAUACUGGACAGGAGAUGUGAUACUCUAUAUUACAGGGCACAAAAAGAGACAAGGGGUUUGUCUGCAUGGAAGACAACAAAAAGGGUAUUAUACUCCACAAAAGGUCACACAAACUAUGGUACAAAAAUCAAAUUCUUAAAUGAUGAAUAAUUUGAAUGCCAUAUCAAGAUUACUGGCCUCAGAAAACUAUAUCAAGAAAAGAGAGGGAGGACCAAUGAGCUUUAACUCAAUGGUAUUGGAGUUAUCUCCAGGGCUGUGAGGUCUCGGGUUCAAGUCCCAAUCGGAGCUAUCUGUAUCAAAAAGAAAGAGAGAGAGAGAGAGUCCAAGCAACAAACUAAGCAGAAAUGUCCACCACAUUUCAGAAAUGAC